UACGAAGGGUGCAAGCGUUAAUCGGAAUUACUGGGCGUAAAGGGUGCGUAGGCGGUUCGUUAAGUCUGUCGUGAAAUCCCCGGGCCCAACCUGGGAAUGGCUAUGGAUACUGGCGAGCUAGAGUGUGUCAGAGGAUGGUGGAAUUCCCGGUGUAGCGGUGAAAUGCGUAGAGAUCGGGAGGAACAUCAGUGGCGAAGGCGGCCAUCUGGGACAACACUGACGCUGAAGCACGAAAGCGUGGGGAGCAAACAGG
rnacentral:rRNA from 1 species